UGCAAGUCGAACGGUGAUGUCAGAGCUUGCUCUGGCGGAUCAGUGGCGAACGGGUGAGUAACACGUGAGUAACCUGCCCCCGACUCUGGGAUAACUGCUAGAAAUGGUAGCUAAUACCGGAUAUGACGACUGGCCGCAUGGUCUGGUCGUGGAAAGAACUUCGGUUGGGGAUGGACUCGCGGCCUAUCAGGUUGUUGGUGAGGUAAUGGCUCACCAAGCCUACGACGGGUAGCCGGCCUGAGAGGGUGACCGGCCACACUGGGACUGAGACACGGCCCAGACWCMUACGGGAGGCAGCAGUGGGGAAUAUUGCACAAUGGGCGCAAGCCUGAUGCAGCAACGCCGCGUGAGGGAUGACGGCCUUCGGGUUGUAAACCUCUUUUAGUAGGGAAGAAGCGAAAGUGACGGUACCUGCAGAAAAAGCACCGGCUAACUACGUGCCAGCAGCCGCGGUAAUACGUAGGGUGCAAGCGUUGUCCGGAAUUAUUGGGCGUAAAGAGCUCGUAGGCGGUUUGUCGCGUCUGCUGUGAAAUCCCGAGGCUCAACCUCGGGUCUGCAGUGGGUACGGGCAGACUAGAGUGCGGUAGGGGAGAUUGGAAUUCCUGGUGUAGCGGUGGAAUGCGCAGAUAUCAGGAGGAACACCGAUGGCGAAGGCAGAUCUCUGGGCCGUAACUGACGCUGAGGAGCGAAAGCAUGGGGAGCGAACAGGAUUAGAUACCCUGGUAGUCCAUGCCGUAAACGUUGGGAACUAGAUGUGGGGACCAUUCCACGGUCUCCGUGUCGCAGCUAACGCAUUAA
rnacentral:rRNA from 1 species